rnacentral:rRNA from 1 species
GUGUUCCUACGGGGCGCAGCAGUGGGGAAUAUUGCGCAAUGGGCGAAAGCCUGACGCAGCGACGCCGCGUGAGGGAUGAAGGUCUUCGGAUCGUAAACCUCUGUCAGCAGGGAAGAACGGUCACUGUGCUAAUCAGCAGUGAAUUGACGGUACCUGCAAAGGAAGCACCGGCUAACUCCGUGCCAGCAGCCGCGGUAAUACGGAGGGUGCGAGCGUUAAUCGGAAUUACUGGGCGUAAAGCGAGCGUAGACGGAAAGGCAAGUC